AUGGCCACCGAGGUGGUGGCGCUCUCGCCGGCCUCCCGCCUGCCGUCCCUCUCCUCCAGGCCUAACGCUCUAGCCGCCUCCUCCUCCCGGUCCCGAGCACCUCGCGGCGCCCGUGCCCCCAGUUCACCGCUGGCGCUCACCACCUCCACGGGGCACCGGCGCAAAGCGCUCCUCCUCCUCCGGCCCCGCGCCACCGAGCAGCAAGGGCAGGUGCAGCAGCAGGACGAGGAGGUGGUGGACGGCAACGUGCUCCCCUACUGUAGCAUCGACGGCAAGAAGAAGAAGACCAUCGGGGAGAUGGAGCAGGAGUUCCUACGAGCCCUGCAGUCCUUCUACUACGACCAGAAGGCCAUCAUGUCCAACGAGGAGUUCGACAACCUCAAGGAGGAGCUCAUGUGGGAAGGCAGCAGCGUCGUCAUGCUAAGCGCCGAUGAGCAGAGGCUGCUGGAAGCCUCCAUUGCCUACAUCGCCGGCAACCCCAUCAUGUCAGAUGCGGAGUUCGACGAGCUCAAGCUUAGACUCAAGCAAGAUGGAAGCGACAUCGUGACGGAAGGCCCCAGGUGCAGUCUACGGAGUCGGAAGGUUUACAGCGAUCUGACCGUUGACUACUUGAAGAUGUUCCUGCUCAAUGUUCCAGCAACUAUUGUUGCUCUAGGACUGUUCUUUUUCAUCGAUGAGCUGACUGGCUUUGAGGUCAAUGUAUUCCAGUUUCCGGAGCCCUUUGGCUUCAUAUUCACGUAUUUUGCCGCUUUGCCUCUGAUAUUGGUAACGGCGCAAGUGGUAACCAAGGCCAUAAUAAAUGAUGUCUUAAUCCUGAAGGGGCCGUGUCCGAAUUGCGGCACUGAAAAUCUUUCCUUCUACGGGACGAUACUGUCGAUCGAGAGUGGUGGAGCAACAAACAAUGUGAAGUGCGCAAAUUGCAAAACAGUGAUGGUAUACGACUCAAAAACUCGGCUGAUCACACUUCCAGAUUCAUGA
rnacentral:rRNA from 1 species